UACGUAGGGGGCUAGCGUUGUCCGGAAUCAUUGGGCGUAAAGCGCGUGUAGGCGGUCCGGUAAGUCCGCUGUGAAAGUCGGGGGCUCAACCCUCGGAUGCUGGUGGAUACUGUCGGGCUUGAGUACGGAAGAGGCGAGUGGAAUUCCUGGUGUAGCGGUGAAAUGCGCAGAUAUCAGGAGGAACACCAAUUGCGAAGGCAGCUCGCUGGGACGUUACUGACGCUGAGACGCGAAAGCGUGGGGAGCAAACAGG
rnacentral:rRNA from 1 species